UCUUUAUAAUAAAUUUAUUUUUAUAGAUUAUUUUAUUUAAAUUAAUUAUUUAAAUAUAUAAAUUAUUUUAUUGGGGUGAUAUAAAAAUUUAACAAACUUUUUAAAAUUUAUUUCUUAAAUUAAAGAUUUUUAAAAUAGUGAUCUAUUAUUAAUAAUUCAAAGAAUAAGA
rnacentral:rRNA from 1 species